AUUGAACGCUGGCGGAAUGCUUUACACAUGCAAGUCGAACGGCAGCACGGGGGCAACCCUGGUGGCGAGUGGCGAACGGGUGAGUAAUACAUCGGAACGUGCCCGGACGUGGGGGAUAACGUAGCGAAAGUUACGCUAAUACCGCAUACGAUCUGAGGAUGAAAGCGGGGGACCUUCGGGCCUCGCGCGAUCGGAGCGGCCGAUGUCAGAUUAGGUAGUUGGUGGGGUAAAGGCCUACCAAGCCGACGAGCUGUAGCUGGUCUGAGAGGACGACCAGCCAGACGGUGACUGAGGCACGGCACAGACUCUUGCGGUGAGCAGCAGUGGGGAAUUUUAGACAAUGGGCGCAAGCCUGAUCCAGCCAUUCCGCGGGCAGGACGAAGGCCUUCGGGUUGUAAACUGCUUUUGUAUGGAGCGAAAAGGCUCUGGCUAAUACCUGAUGAUCAUGACGGUACCGUAAGAAUAAGCACCGGCUAACUACGUG
rnacentral:rRNA from 1 species